rnacentral:rRNA from 1 species
UGAGGAAUAUUGGUCAAUGGGCGCAAGCCUGAACCAGCCAUCCCGCGUGCAGGAAGACGGCCCUAUGGGUUGUAAACUGCUUUUCCAGGAGACGAAUAGUCUUUACGUGUAAGGGCAUGACGGUACCCUGGGAAUAAGCAUCGGCUAACUCCGUGCCAGCAGCCGCGGUAAUACGGAGGAUGCAAGCGUUAUCCGGAUUCAUUGGGUUUAAAGGGUGCGUAGGCGGGCUAUUAUGUCAGUGGUGAAAUCCUGCAGCCUAACUGCAGAACUGCCGUUGAAACUGAUAGUCUUGAGUUUGGUUAAGGUAGGCGGAAUGUGUAAUGUAGCGGUGAAAUGCUUAGAUAUUACACAGAACACCGAUUGCGUAGGCAGCUUACUGAGCCGACACUGACGCUGAGGCACGAAAGCGUGGGGAUCGAACAG